AUCCCUGUAGCGCAAUGGAUAGCGUGUUGGACUUCUAAUUCAAAAGUCGUGGGUUUGAAUCCAACCUGCGAUG